rnacentral:tRNA from 1 species
GAGGAUGUAGCUCAGUGGUAGAGUACUUGCCUAGCAUGCACAUGGCCCUGGGUUCAAACCCCAGCACCACA